UACGGGGGGAGCAAGCGUUGUUCGGAUUUACUGGGCGUAAAGGGCGCGUAGGCGGCCACUGCAAGUCAGUUGUGAAAUCUCCGGGCUUAACUCGGAAAGGUCAAUUGAUACUGCAGGGCUAGAGUGCAGAAGGGGCAACUGGAAUUCUCGGUGUAGCGGUGAAAUGCGUAGAUAUCGAGAGGAACACCUGCGGCGAAGGCGGGUUGCUGGGCUGACACUGACGCUGCAGCGCGAAAGCCAGGGGAGCGAACGGG
rnacentral:rRNA from 2 species